UAGUACUACUUAGCUGUCCUAUUGCAGCAGA
rnacentral:piRNA from 1 species